CACAGGUGCUGCAUGGCUGUCGUCAGCUCGUGUCGUGAGAUGUUGGGUUAAGUCCCGCAACGAGCGCAACCCUUGUCAUUAGUUGCUACGAAAGGGCACUCUAAUGAGACUGCCGGUGACAAACCGGAGGAAGGUGGGGAUGACGUCAAGUCCUCAUGGCCCUUAUGGGUAGGGCUUCACACGUCAUACAAUGGUCGGGACAGAGGGUCGCCAACCCGCGAGGGGGAGCCAAUCCCAGAAACCCGAUCGUAGUCCGGAUUGUAGUCUGCAACUCGACUACAUGAAGUCGGAAUCGCUAGUAAUCGCGGAUCAGCAUGUCGCGGUGAAUACGUUCCCGGGUCUU
rnacentral:rRNA from 1 species